rnacentral:rRNA from 1 species
UAAUCCUACGGGAGGCAGCAGUGGGGGAUAUUGCACAAUGGGGGAAACCCUGAUGCAGCGACGCCGCGUGAGCGAUGAAGUAUUUCGGUAUGUAAAGCUCUAUCAGCAGGGAAGAAAAUGACGGUACCUGACUAAGAAGCCCCGGCUAACUACGUGCCAGCAGCCGCGGUAAUACGUAGGGGGCAAGCGUUAUCCGGAUUUACUGGGUGUAAAGGGAGCGUAGACGGCGCUGCAAGUCCGGAGUGAAAGCCCAUGGCUUAACCAUGGUACUGCUCUGGAAACUGUGGAGCUU